rnacentral:rRNA from 1 species
GGCGUGCCUAAUACAUGCAAGUCGAGCGAACGGACGAGAAGCUUGCUUCUCUGAUGUUAGCGGCGGACGGGUGAGUAACACGUGGAUAACCUACCUAUAAGACUGGGAUAACUUCGGGAAACCGGAGCUAAUACCGGAUAAUAUUUUGAACCGCAUGGUUCAAAAGUGAAAGACGGUCUUGCUGUCACUUAUAGAUGGAUCCGCGCUGCAUUAGCUAGUUGGUAAGGUAACGGCUUACCAAGGCAACGAUGCAUAGCCGACCUGAGAGGGUGAUCGGCCACACUGGAACUGAGACACGGUCCAGACUCCUACGGGAGGCAGCAGUAGGGAAUCUUCCGCAAUGGGCGAAAGCCUGACGGAGCAACGCCGCGUGAGUGAUGAAGGUCUUCGGAUCGUAAAACUCUGUUAUUAGGGAAGAACAUAUGUGUAAGUAACUGUGCACAUCUUGACGGUACCUAAUCAGAAAGCCACGGCUAACUACGUGCCAGCAGCCGCGGUAAUACGUAGGUGGCAAGCGUUAUCCGGAAUUAUUGGGCGUAAAGCGCGCGUAGGCGGUUUUUUAAGUCUGAUGUGAAAGCCCACGGCUCAACCGUGGAGGGUCAUUGGAAACUGGAAAACUUGAGUGCAGAAGAGGAAAGUGGAAUUCCAUGUGUAGCGGUGAAAUGCGCAGAGAUAUGGAGGAACACCAGUGGCGAAGGCGACUUUCUGGUCUGUAACUGACGCUGAUGUGCGAAAGCGUGGGGAUCAAACAGGAUUAGA